UAGUUUCCAGCCACAGAUUCGAAUUGGCCAGGGUCAAAAUCUGUCAUUAGAGAUAAAACCUUGAAGUGAAGGCAGUUUUGAUGUUUGAAAUAUUUGUUGAUGUGAGUUUGUGAUUAACAAGUUUAAGAAUGGUAUGUUGCAGAAAUUCUGGCAGAUGCGAAUGUAAGCUUGAUGGCAUCAUUUUCAUAUAACUGCUUGAAAUGCAUAUAUGCCACUAUCAGCAUUGAGCGUCUCGUGAACUGUCAAAUGUCAUAUAGGCCUCACACAGUUGAAAAUAGUGAAAAAAGUAAUCGGUUGACAGGUCUGCAUCUCGUAAGAUAUCGGAAGCCGUGUGACUUGGCCACAUCGCUCGGAAGUCUGAAGUACUAGAAAAAACCGCCAUCUGCUACCUUAAGACAUUUGUCAAUUUUUGUCUGCAUCUCGUAAGAUAUCGGAAGCCGUCUGACUUGGCCACAUCGCUCGGAAGUCUGAAGUACUAGAAAAAACCGCCAUCUGCUACCUUUACGGU